AACGCGAAGAACCUUACCUGGUCUUGACAUCCACAGAACUUUCCAGAGAUGGAUUGGUGCCUUCGGGAACUGUGAGACAGGUGCUGCAUGGCUGUCGUCAGCUCGUGUUGUGAAAUGUUGGGUUAAGUCCCGCAACGAGCGCAACCCUUAUCCUUUGUUGCCAGCGGUCCGGCCGGGAACUCAAAGGAGACUGCCAGUGAUAAACUGGAGGAAGGUGGGGAUGACGUCAAGUCAUCAUGGCCCUUACGACCAGGGCUACACACGUGCUACAAUGGCAUAUACAAAGAGAAGCGACCUCGCGAGAGCAAGCGGACCUCAUAAAGUAUGUCGUAGUCCGGAUUGGAGUCUGCAACUCGACUCCAUGAAGUCGGAAUCGCUAGUAAUCGUAGAUCAGAAUGCUACGGUGAAUACGUUCCC
rnacentral:rRNA from 2 species